AAGCCUGAGCUUCCCCCGACCCCAGCCCCCAGAACAGGCAGCUCUCCGCAAGCCGUGGGAGCCCGGCGCUGGGCUCCCAUGGCUUGCGGAGAGCUGCCUGUUCUGGGGGCUGGGGUCGGGGGAAGCUCAGGC